rnacentral:sRNA from 12 species
UACACCACUGACGAUUGAGACAUCGUUAUAUCCGCAAUUAUUUGUUUUGGUGAGUGAAAAUUAACUCGAUACAGGGCACGCGGUAAAGCGGUCGCACCUGCCGCGUGUAGGGGAUAGAA